AGAAUCAACGCUGGCGGCGUGCCUCAGACAUGCAAGUCGAACGAUUAAAGCUCUCUUCGGAGAGUGUAUAGAGUGGCGCACGGGUGAGUAACACGUAAGUAAUCUGCCUUUGGAGUGGGGAAUAACGUUCGGAAACGGACGCUAAUACCGCAUAAUGCAGCGGCACCGCAAGGUGACAGUUAGUUAAAGGAGCAAAUCCGCUUUAAAAGAGGGAGCGUUGCGGCAGAUUAGCUAGUUGGUAAGGUAAUGGCUUACCGAAGGCUACGACUCUGUAACCGGUCUAAGGAGGACGGUCGGUCACACUAGACACU
rnacentral:rRNA from 1 species